UUAGUGGUUCGGAAUACACUUAAUUAUAUGACCCUAAUAAGUAAAACUCAUGCACUUAAUCUUUAUCUAUGAUUGAAUUCUCCUAUAUAGGUUUAUUUUGAAAGGAAUUAUAAAAUUAGUAAAAUGAUAAUCACAUUUUGGCAUCACUGCUGGGGAUAGACAAUAGCAUUGAAUGUUACAAAUUAACUAUCGAUUUAGUUAGAUGGGAAGUAAGAAAAAAAUUCAGUAGAAUAUAAUGAAAAAAUAUGGUUAUUAAAAAGAAGAACUUAAUAGUUAAGAGAAUACACUAAUUGAAAGAAAGAAUAGAGAGAUUGUAAACAAAAAAUUUGUUACAUAGAAAUCAAGAAUAGAAGUUAAAAAAGAAUCAUUGAUAAAAUUGCAUU
rnacentral:lncRNA from 1 species